CGGACCUUGGGCAUCAGGUAGGGCCGUGUGAACGUACGUAUCCCACGUACUGGUCUUGUGGACGCGGAGGGCGACGCGGAGUUGUCGGCCGCCGGUCGAAGCUUGUGGGAGAAGUGGUCGUUUUCGUGUGUGUCGGCUGGUGCCUCUCAAGAGCUAGUAGUAGCCGGCCUUGUGUGGGUAUUCUUCUGUGACUGUUCAACUUCCCCUUUCUCAACUGCUUUGUUCGCUCUCAUGAGUGGUGAUGAUGAUUCGUUUUGGUUGUAACCAAAAGCCUCGUGAAGGGCUAGUUUCAGCUGCUGCAAGUUCAGGGGUCGUCUAGGCUACAUCGUCUCAGGUUCAGUCAGACCUGAAUAAACAAAAUGAAACAAAAAGAUGGUAAACAUGCUUUAGACCCGUUUGGUUCUUUAGUCCCUCCUAAAAUUCCUAUCAC
rnacentral:lncRNA from 1 species